rnacentral:rRNA from 1 species
GAUGAACGCUGACAGAAUGCUUAACACAUGCAAGUCUACCAAGAAUCACUUCGGUGAGGAAUGGUGGCGGACGGGUGAGUAACACGUAAAUAAGCUGCCCUUUAGACUGGGAUAUCCUUUGGAAACGAAGGUUAAUACCGGAUAUUAUGAGAUGGACGCAUGUUCAACUUAUGAAAGCUAAAUGCACUAGAGGAGGAGUUUGCGUCCCAUUAGCUAGUUGGUGAGGUAAAGGCUCACCAAGGCCACGAUGGGUAGCCGGCCUGAGAGGGUGAACGGCCACAAGGGAACUGAGACACGGUCCUUACUCCUACGGGAGGCAGCAGUGGGGAAUAUUGGACAAUGGACCAAAAGUCUGAUCCAGCAAUUCUGUGUGCACGAUGAAGGUCUUCGGAUUGUAAAGUGCUUUCAGUAGGGAAGAAAAAAAUGACGGUACCUACAGAAGAAGCGACGGCUAAAUAUGUGCCAGCCGCCGCCGUAACAC